rnacentral:rRNA from 1 species
GACGAACGCUGGCGGCGUGCUUAACACAUGCAAGUCGAACGGAAAGGCCCUGCUUUUGUGGGGUGCUCGAGUGGCGAACGGGUGAGUAACACGUGAGUAACCUGCCCUUGACUUUGGGAUAACUUCAGGAAACUGGGGCUAAUACCGGAUAUGAGCUCCUGCUGCAUGGUGGGGGUUGGAAAGUUUCGGCGGUUGGGGAUGGACUCGCGGCUUAUCAGCUUGUUGGGGGGGUAGUGGCUUACCAAGGGUUUGACGGGUAGCCGGCCUGAGAGGGUGACCGGCGACAUUGGGACUGAGAUACGGCGCAGACGCCUACGGGAGGCAGCAGUGGGGAAUAUUGCAGAAUGAGCGGAAGCCUGAUGUAGCAACGCCGCGUGCGUGAUGACGGCCUUCGGGUUGUAAACAGCUGUCGCCUGUGACGAAGCGUGAGUGACGGUAAUGGGUAAAGAAGCACCGGCUAACUACGUG